rnacentral:rRNA from 1 species
AGAUUGAACGCUGGCGGCAGGCCUAACACAUGCAAGUCGAGCGGUAGAGAGGUGCUUGCAUCUCUUGAGAGCGGCGGACGGGUGAGUAAUGCCUAGGAAUCUGCCUAGUGGUGGGGGAUAACGUUCGGAAACGGACGCUAAUACCGCAUACGUCCUACGGGAGAAAGCGGGGGACCUUCGGGCCUCGCGCCAUUAGAUGAGCCUAGGUCGGAUUAGCUAGUUGGUGAGGUAAUGGCUCGACCAAGGCGACGAUCCGUAACUGGUCUGAGAGGAUGAUCAGUCACACUGGAACUGAGACACGGUCCAGACU